CUGGUACUCCCUUCAUCCGAAAAAUCUUGUCCCUCGAAUCGAUGUAUCUAGUCCCAAUUUAGUGCUAGAUACAUUCAUUUAAGGGACAAGUUUGGGACAAUCUUUGUCGGACGGAGGAAGUAGUAA
rnacentral:pre_miRNA from 1 species